UACGUAGGGUGCAAGCGUUAAUCGGAAUUACUGGGCGUAAAGCGUGCGCAGGCGGUUUUGUAAGUCUGACGUGAAAUCCCCGGGCUCAACCUGGGAAUUGCGUUGGAGACUGCAAGGCUAGAAUCUGGCAGAGGGGGUAGAAUUCCACGUGUAGCAGUGAAAUGCGUAGAGAUGUGGAGGAACACCGAUGGCGAAGGCAGCCCCCUGGGUCAAGAUUGACGCUCAUGCACGAAAGCGUGGGGAGCAAACAGG
rnacentral:rRNA from 1 species